GCUGCGCGCUACAUGCAGUCGACGGUACAGGAAGCAGCUUGCUGCUUCGCUGACGAGUGGCGGACGGGUGAGUAAUGUCUGGGAAACUGCCUGAUGGAGGGGGAUAACUACUGGAAACGGUAGCUAAUACCGCAUAACGUCGCAAGACCAAAGAGGGGGACCUUCGGGCCUCUUGCCAUCGGAUGUGCCCAGAUGGGAUUAGCUAGUAGGUGGGGUAACGGCUCACCUAGGCGACGAUCCCUAGCUGGUCUGAGAGGAUGACCAGCCACACUGGAACUGAGACACGGUCCAGACUCCUACGGGAGGCAGCAGUGGGGAAUAUUGCACAAUGGGCGCAAGCCUGAUGCAGCCAUGCCGCGUGUAUGAAGAAGGCCUUCGGGUUGUAAAGUACUUUCAGCGGGGAGGAAGGUGAUGAGGUUAAUAACCUCGUCAAUUGACGUUACCCGCAGAAGAAGCACCGGCUAACUCCGUGCCAGCAGCCGCGGUAAUACGGAGGGUGCAAGCGUUAAUCGGAAUUACUGGGCGUAAAGCGCACGCAGGCGGUCUGUCAAGUCGGAUGUGAAAUCCCCGGGCUCAACCUGGGAACUGCAUUCGAAACUGGCAGGCUAGAGUCUUGUAGAGGGGGGUAGAAUUCCAGGUGUAGCGGUGAAAUGCGUAGAGAUCUGGAGGAAUACCGGUGGCGAAGGCGGCCCCCUGGACAAAGACUGACGCUCAGGUGCGAAAGCGUGGGGAGCAAACAGGAUUAGAUACCCUGGUAGUCCACGCCGUANACGAUGUCGACUUGGAGGUUGUGCCCUUGANGCGUGGCUUCCGGAGCUAACGCGUUAAGUCGACCGCCUGGAGAGUACGGCCGNCAGGUUAAAACUCAUAUGAAUUGACGGGCGCCCGCACAAGCGGUGGAGCAUGUGGUUUAAUUCGAUGNCACGCGAAGAACCUUUACUACUNCUGACAUCCAGAGAACUUANCAGAGAUGCUUUGGUGCCUUCGGGGACUCUNGAGACAGUGCUGCAUGGCUGUCGUCAGCUCGUGUUGUGAAAAUGUGGGUUAAGUCCCCGCACGAGCGCACCCCUUUAUCUUUGGUGGCAGCGNUUAGGCCGGGGACUCAAAGGAAACUGCCAGUGAUAAACUGGAGGAAAGGUGGGGAUGACNUCAANUCAUCAGGCCCUUACGAGUAGGGCUACCCCCGUGCUAAAUGGGGCAAACAAAGAAAAGCGACUUCCCGGAACAAGGGCACCCUAAAAGGGGGCCUUAACCGGGAUGGGCUCCGCACUCCCCCCUUAAGCGGAAUCCCUUUUAUCGUGAAAAAAGGCCCCGGGGAUACUUUCUCGGCUUGUAACACCCCCUCCCAAGGGAGGGGUGUGAAAAAAGAUAUUUACUCGGGC
rnacentral:rRNA from 1 species